ACGAGAGAGAGAGAGAGAGAGAGAGAGAGAGGGAGAGAGAGACGUUUAGGGGAAAAAAAAUUUAAAAGAACGAUUGGGAGGAAAUCGCUUCUUCCUGCUGUGGCGGCAUCCACCCGACCCGGAUGUCGUCUGCGCUGAUUCGGCGGCUGGGGAUUGGGAGGUCACGGAACAUGUCCAUUUUCGCCACAAUUGGCAAGAAAGCAAUUUGCAAGGACCCAACUGAUUCAAAGGAAGUUCCACCGCUCGAUGUACCAAAACUUUUGGCAUUUUUAGUUAGGCAAUCUGGGCCAUUCUUGGAUCAAUUUGGUGUUAGAAGAGGAGUAGAAGUGUUG